rnacentral:rRNA from 1 species
AGUGAACGCUGGCGGUAGGCCUAACACAUGCAAGUCGAACGGCAGCACAGUAAGAGCUUGCUCUUACGGGUGGCGAGUGGCGGACGGGUGAGGAAUACAUCGGAAUCUACUUUUUCGUGGGGGAUAACGUAGGGAAACUUACGCUAAUACCGCAUACGACCUACGGGUGAAAGCAGGGGAUCUUCGGACCUUGCGCGAUUGAAUGAGCCGAUGUCGGAUUAGCUAGUUGGCGGGGUAAAGGCCCACCAAGGCGACGAUCCGUAGCUGGUCUGAGAGGAUGAUCAGCCGCACUGGAACUGAGACACGGUCCAGACUCCUACGGGAGGCAGCAGUGGGGAAUAUUGGACAAUGGGCGCAAGCCUGAUCCAGCCAUACCGCGUGUGUGAAGAAGGCCUUCGGGUUGUAAAGCCCUUUUGUUGGGAAAGAAAAGCAGCAGGUUAAUACCCCGCUGUUCUGACGGUACCCAAAGAAUAAGCACCGGCUAACUUCGUG